rnacentral:lncRNA from 1 species
GAAAAGAGGCAUAUUCCCCAAAGUCGCGACAAAUAUCAUGAGAGCGUGGCUCUUCCAGCAUCUCACACACCCGUACCCUUCAGAAGAGCAGAAGAAGCAGUUAGCACAAGACACGGGGCUGACAAUUCUGCAAGUGAACAACUGGUUUAUUAAUGCCAGAAGAAGAAUAGUACAGCCCAUGAUUGACCAGUCAAAUCGAGCAGUGAGCCAAGGAGCAGCGUAUAGUCCAGAGGGUCAGCCUAUGGGGAGCUUUGUAUUGGAUGGUCAGCAACACAUGGGGAUCCGGCCCGCAGGACCCAUGAGUGGAAUGGGCAUGAAUAUGGGCAUGGAUGGGCAAUGGCACUACAUGUAACCUUCGCCAUGUAAAGCAAUCGCAAGGCAAGGGGGAAGUUUGCAGAGCAUGCCAGGGGACUACGUUUCUCAGGGUGGUCCAGUGGGAAUGGGUAUGGCCCAGCCGAGUUACACUCCUCCCCAGAUGACCCCACACCCUACUCAGUUAAGACAUGGACCCCCAAUGCAUUCAUAUUUGCCAAGCCAUCCCCACCACCCAGCCAUGAUGAUGCACGGAGGACCCCCUACCCACCCUGGAAUGACUAUGUCAGCACAGAGCCCCACAAUGUUAAAUUCUGUAGAUCCCAAUGUUGGCGGACAGGUUAUGGACAUUCAUGCCCAAUAGUAUAAGGGAACUCAAGGAAGAAGGAAACACACGCAAAAACUAUUGACUAAGACUCUCCGAACUUUGACCAGAUGUGACACUUAAUAUGAAACUCCAGACAGCUGUGAUUAUUUUUUACUUUUGUCAUUUUUCAUCAAGCAACAGAGGACCAAUGGGACAAGAACACAAAUGUGAAGCGAUGGGGGUCAUCGAGACAAUUUUGUCCAUGCAAAGAUCCUCUGGAGAAAGACUCCGAGAGUUAUAACUACUGUAGCAUAAACAUAGGGACUAAGUUAAACUUGUACAUUUCUGUUGAUCACUCCGUUAUGUUGCCUCAAAUAGUUUUAGAAGAGAAAAAAAUAUAUCCUUGUUUUCCACACUAUGUGUGUUGUUCCCAAAAGAAUGACUGUCUUGGUUCAUCAGUGAAUUCACUAUCCAGAAGAGAACUGUGGUAUAUUUUAAAUCUGUUGGGCCAAUGAGAAAAGAACCACGCUGCGGAGAGAGAUGGACACUUGGCUGAACCUCAUCACUAACUCCAGCGGCUAGAAUGUGUUUUCAUGCCCGGCCUUUGUUCCCCCGUCCGUGUGUCCUUUAGUUUCAAACAGAUCUUUAUAGUUUGUGCUUCAUAAGCCAAUUCUUAUUAUGAUUUUGGGGGACUGUUCUUCAAAGAGCUUGCCAGUGAAGAUUUAGAGACAAAGCGAAGACUUCUUCAAGUCCCAAGCCUUGGCUAUGGACAAAGCAAUCUUAAGUUGGACAGCUUCCUCAACACGCGCACAUGUGUGCGCGAGCGCACACACACACACACACACACACACACACACACACACACAGAAAUUAUUCAUGGUCAUUGCACCAUAAGAUUCUAUCAGGAACUCAAAGCUUGGGGGAUAAAACGGAGCAAGAGAAUACUGUAACAAACUUCGUACAGAGUUCGGUCUUUUAAUUGUUUCAUGUUAGAUAUUCUAUGUGUUUACCUCAAUUGAAAAAAAAAAAGAAUGUUUUUGCUAGUAUCAGAUCUGCUGUGGAAUUGGUAUUGUAUGUCCAUGGGAUCCUCUUUUCUCAGCACGUGUUCCUCACUAGAAGAAAAUGCUGUUACCUUUAAGCUUUGUCAAAUUUACAUUAAAAUACUUGUAUGAGGACUGUGACGUUAUGUUAAAAAAAGGUGUUAAGUCACAAAAUGCGGUAAUAAAUAUUUCAUUUUUG